AAAAAACAAAGGCAAGAAUAGGGUUGAAAGACCACCAAAGCCAUGGAUUGCCAACUGGACUAAGGAGCAGUUGGUGGAAAGAAUGAAUGCAGAGAGAGAGGAAAUUUUGGGGAUUGUGAAGUUGGCAGAGACAAGAGAAAAAAUGAGAAAAAAAGAAAAAAAAGAAAAAAAACAAGAAAUAAAAAAAACAAAAAAAAGGAAGGCGAGCUCAACAUCGUCUUCGGAGACAGAAACUACUGACAGUGACACUUCUACCUCUGAGUCUGAGGCUCAAAAAGACUCAGAGGAUUCAGGAAGAAAACACCCCGGCAAAAAGGGGAAAAAAAUGGACUCAAGAAAAAGAAAGCAGAGGCAAGAGG